UGGCGAACGGGUGAGUAACGCGUGAGGAACCUGCCUCAAAGAGGGGGACAACAGUUGGAAACGACUGCUAAUACCGCAUAAGCCCACGACCCGGCAUCGGGUAGGGGGAAAAGGAGCAAUCCGCUUUGAGAUGGCCUCGCGUCCGAUUAGCUAGUUGGUGAGGUAACGGCCCACCAAGGCGACGAUCGGUAGCCGGACUGAGAGGUUGAACGGCCACAUUGGGACUGAGACACGGCCCAG
rnacentral:rRNA from 1 species